rnacentral:rRNA from 1 species
GAUGAACGCUGGCGGCGUGCCUAAUACAUGCAAGUCGAGCGAACAGACGAGGAGCUUGCGCCUCUGACGUUAGCGGCGGACGGGUGAGUAACACGUGGAUAACCUACCUAUAAGACUGGGAUAACUUCGGGAAACCGGAGCUAAUACCGGAUAAUAUAUUGAACCGCAUGGUUCAAUAGUGAAUGACGGUUUUGCUGUCACUUAUAGAUGGAUCCGCGCCGCAUUAGCUAGUUGGUAAGGUAACGGCUUACCAAGGCGACGAUGCGUAGCCGACCUGAGAGGGUGAUCGGCCACACUGGAACUGAGACACGGUCCAGACUCCUACGGGAGGCAGCAGUAGGGAAUCUUCCGCAAUGGGCGAAAGCCUGACGGAGCAACGCCGCGUGAGUGAUGAAGGUCUUCGGAUCGUAAAACUCUGUUAUUAGGGAAGAACAAAUGUGUAAGUAACUAUGCACGUCUUGACGGUACCUAAUCAGAAAGCCACGGCUAACUACGUG